rnacentral:lncRNA from 1 species
GCACAAAUUUGCAGUCCCACCAGCAGUGUAUGAAUGUACCUUUUUCCUCCACAUCCUCGCCAGCACUUGUUGUUUGUCUUCAUCAUGGCUACCAUUCUUACUGGAGUGAGAUGGUGUUUUAAAGUAGUUUUAAUUUGCAUUUCUCUGAUUGCUAGAGAUGAUGAGUAUUUUUUUGUAUAUUUGUUGAUUGAUUGUAUAUUCUCUUCUGAGAAAUGUCUGUUCAGGUCCUUGGCCCAUUUGUUGAUUGGGUUAUUUGGUUUUUUUUGGUUUAUAGCUUUUUGAGUUCUUUGUAUACCCUAGGGAUUAGAGCUCUAUAUGAUGUGUGAGGGGUAAAAAUUUGUUCCCAGUAUGUAGACUCCCUAUUGACCUCACAUAUUAUUUCUCUUGCUGAGGGGAAAAAAAAAAAAAUUUAGUUUUAAUUCAUCCCAUUUGUUGAUUCUUGGUUUUAAUUCUUGUGCUAUAGAUGUCUUAUUAAGGAAAUUGGGGGCUAACCCCAUGUGAUGGAGAUUAGGGCCUACUUUUUCUUCUAUUAGACUCAGAGUCUCUGGUUUAAUUCCUAGAUCCUUGAUCCAUUUUGAGUUAACUUCAUCACAUCAAUAGAUUUAUAGAUAAGAACCACAUGAUCAUCUCGAUAGAUGCAGAUAAAGCAUUUGACAAAAUACAGCAACCCUUUAUGUUCAAAACACUAGAAAAACUAGGGAUAACAGGAACUUACCUCAACAUUGUAAAAGCUGUCUAUGUUAAGCCUUAGGCCAGUAUCAUUCUAAAUGAAGAAAAACUGAAGGCAUUCCUUCUAAAAUCUGGAAAAAGACAGGGAUGCCCUCUCUACUUCUAUUCAACAUAGUUCUUGAAACACUGGCCAGAGCAAUUAGACAGAUGAAAGAAAUUAAAGGAAUAACUAUAGGGAAAGAAGAACUUAAACUAGCACUAUUUGCUGAUGAUAUAAUUCUAUAACUAGAAGACCCAAAAAUAACUCUACCAAAAAACUUUUAGAACUAGUAAAUGAAUUCAGCAAAGUGGCAGGAUAUAAAAUCAACACCCAUAAAUCAAAGGCAUUCCUGUAUAUCAGUGAUAAAUCCUCUGAAAAGGAAAUGAGGAAAACUACCCCAUUCACAAUAUCCUCAAAAAAUAAAUAAAUAAAUAAAAUACUUGGGAAUCAACAAAAGAAAUGAAAGGUCUAUACAGUGAAAACUAUAGAACCCUAAAGAGAAAAAUAAAAGAAGACCUUAAAAUAUGGAAAGAUCUACCUUGCUUAUGAAUAGGCAGAAUUAAUUUUAUUAAAAUGACCAUAUUACCAAAAGCACUAUACAGAUUCAAUGGAAUUUUGAUCAAAAUCCCAAUGAGAAAUAGAAAAAGCAAUUAUGAAAUUCAUCUGGAAAAAUAAGAGAACCAGAAUAGCUAAAGCAAUUCUAAGCAGGAAAAGUGAAACAGGUGGUAUCACUAUACCAAAUCUUAAACUAUACUACAGAGCAAUAGUAACAAAACAGCAUGGUACUGGCACUAAAACAGGCUGGUGGACCAAUGGUACAGGAUAGAGGACACUGAGACUAACUCACAAAACUACAACUACCUUGUAUUAGACAAAGGUGCUGAAAGCAUGCACUGGAGAAAGGAUGGCACCUUCAACAAAUGGUGCUGGGAAAACUGGAAAUCCAUUUGCAACAAAAUGAAACUGAAUCCCUCUCUCUCACCAUGCACAAAAGUUAACACUGGGUGCUUUUGAAUUUAAUCUUCCAUCUCUAUGUUUCUUAAUUCUAGCAUUAUUUAUUUGUAUUUUCUUUUUUCACAUGUAACUUGCUAGAGGCUUGCCUCUUUUAUUUUUUGUUUUGUUUUGGUACCAGGGAUUAAGCUCAGGGGUACUCAACCAUUGCACCACAUCCCCAGGACUUCUUGUUUUUGUUUGUUUGUUUGUUUGUUUGUUUGUUUUUAUUUUGACACAGGGCCUUGCUAAAUUGCUUAGGUUCUCACUAAAUUGCUUAGUUCCUCACUAAGUUGUUGAGACUGGUUUUGAUUCUGCCUCAGCCUCCUGAGUCACUUAGAUAACAGGUGUGCACCACCAUCCUUGGCCUUACUGGACUUUAAAAGAGCUAUCUCUUUGAUUUCUUAUCAAUUCUAUUGUUUUCUGCUUUCUAAUUUACUUAUGUCUGCUUUUAUCUUUCACUUUCUGUUUCUACUGUCCAUUAUAUUUUGUCUCCAUUUUUUAGUCAAUUUAUCAGUGUUUCUUUUUUAUCCUUCAUUUUUAUUCAGUUACAAAACCAUUUAAACUUUGUCUCCUCUCCUAUAAGUGAUCAUAAAGAAGGAUACACAGAGAGGACACUGUAGCUAGGACAGCAGGCUCAGAAAUAGAGAUCAAUACUGCACUUCUCUGCUGGGCCACUAGCUCUGCCUCUCAGGUGCUAGCUUUUCAGAUGGUGCCAUUAUGUGCAUAAUCUCUUUCCUACUUUGUUUCCUGCUAAAUGUUAACCAGAGAGCCAGAGUGGCUAAGGGCUGCACUCCAUCUUUGGCAGUUAUGGAAAUGAAGGCCCUUCCAACUUUAUUACUUUUUCUGAAGCAGCUUUGUCUCAUUUGCAGGACCCUGGGGCCUAAGUGGCACUUACUGGGAAUUGCAUCUAUCAGCCUGAGAAUGUGACCAUUUAUGUGAUGAUACUGAGUGUUUCUGAUACCCUGGUACAGCAGUCACCCUGCCCUGUCGUGCCCUACCCCAUUCUACCCCAAUUUCCUCAGCCAUCUCUCAUCUCCUCCUGGCUCUGCAGGAUUUAUCAAAGGAGGUCUGUGGUACAGAGCACUAAGAAGAAGUAAGGGAACAUGUGAAUGGAUUUUAUUGAAAUAUUAAGCUGUUGAGGAGAAGGGAAGGAUGUACAGUGUGAAAUACUCUUCAGUCAGACCAGGAUAAAUCUACCUGUGACAUCUCAAAAGGCUCACUCUCAGGGUAUUCUAGGGCUUCCACAGAGAACCUUAAGGAACCCCUGAUUUUAAUCCAUGACUUCUAGUGGAACUCCAUGCAGGACAGUGUCAAUAUCCAUUGGCCUUUUGCAUAUGGUGACCAGCAGAGAGGAAAUACAAAAUUGGAGGAUGGAAGGAGGUGGGUGUCUGCCCGUGCCCAAUUGCACAACUUCACUUUUUUUAUGGAAUGAAGAUCUUCACUUCUAAUCAAUUCCUUACAGGAUCUCAGUCCCUGUGUUCCAUUUCUGAAAUGAUUAGCACUGAUAAAAGUUUAUUGAGCUUUUGCUAUGUGCCAG